GGCAGCCUGGGGAGAGGGCUGGGGAGUGGGCAGUGGAGUUUUCCUCUGGAAAACCUCUGGAUCUCACUGCUUGUGGCCAGGGGAAGUGGUUUGGGCUGCCCUGCCAAGCUAUUCAGCUGCUCUGCAUCAGCACCAGUGGGCUUCUCAAGUGCUGCAGCAAGGCAGUGUCCCCCCAGCAAAGGUGAGGAUGUCUUCCCUCCUAGAUGUGUCUUCAUCCCUGAACACCUCUUGGUCUCCAUCUUCUUCUCCUGAGGAACACCACUGGCACUGGACUCGAUUAAGACCCCUGCAGGCAACCUGACAGGUCAAAGCCUCAUCACCAAAACAGCCUCAUCACCAAAACAGCCCCAUCUUUCUGCUCAUCACAAACGUCUGGAGGACAAGAGGCCACAUGAAACCCUCCUGCACAUGAAGCCCCGUGCCCAGGUGACUCCAGGUGAGCCCCAGACUCCAUUGCUGUUCUCAGGAGACAGUCACAUCUGGCACUGCUCCCCUGCAGCUGGAUUUACAGGCUCUCAAUGGUUUCCCACUUGCUCCACAGCUUGCCUGGUGGUAUCUUCAUUGGGACACUUAAGGAUGCAGUGGGGUGCUUGGCUGGGCCAGAGCUGGACCAGCCUGUGACUUCCAGAUGUCACCUCUUGUGCUGAAGCAUCAAAUGCCCAGGCUGCUUUCCACGAGCUGGAAAAGGGGGUGACCUCAUUUGCCCUGAAGAUGCAAGUGUGGCUGGCACGUUUUCCCACCUAUUUUUGUCUGCUCCUUGGAGCACACACAUAUCCUUGCUCUUAAACAAGUGCUGCUCUCCUCCUUGCAAACCCCAGGCUGGAUUUCUGCUCCUGGGAGGACGUGAAGGUCGCUAUGGAGCACCCCACCUAAAGGUGACAGAUCAGGACUGGGGGAAACGGGACUCUGUUGGGCUCUGCUGGUUUUGGGGUGAGUGCUGCAGCAUUUGCAGGAGGCUGACACUGAGCUGGAUGUAUAAACCUGGCCCGGGGCUUCCCUGGGGCUCCUGCUCUGUCUCCUCACAUUU